rnacentral:rRNA from 1 species
AUGAACGCUAGCUACAGGCUUAACACAUGCAAGUCGAGGGGCAGCAGGAUCUAGCAAUAGAUUGCUGGCGACCGGCGCACGGGUGAGUAACACGUAUCCAACCUGCCGAUAACUCGGGGAUAGCCUUUCGAAAGAAAGAUUAAUACCCGAUGGCAUAAUUAGACCGCAUGGUUUGAUUAUUAAAGAAUUUCGGUUAUCGAUGGGGAUGCGUUCCAUUAGGCAGUUGGUGAGGUAACGGCUCACCAAACCUUCGAUGGAUAGGGGUUCUGAGAGGAAGGUCCCCCACAUUGGAACUGAGACACGGUCCAAACUCCUACGGGAGGCAGCAGUGAGGAAUAUUGGUCAAUGGACGAGAGUCUGAACCAGCCAAGUAGCGUGAAGGAUGACUGCCCUAUGGGUUGUAAACUUCUUUUAUAUGGGAAUAAAGUUUUCCACGUGUGGAAUUUUGUAUGUACCAUAUGAAUAAGGAUCGGCUAACUCCGUGCCAGCAGCCGCGGUAAUACGGAGGAUCCGAGCGUUAUCCGGAUUUAUUGGGUUUAAAGGGAGCGUAGGUGGACAGUUAAGUCAGUUGUGAAAGUUUGCGGCUCAACCGUAAAAUUGCAGUUGAUACUGGCUGUCUUGAGUACAGUAGAGGUGGGCGGAAUUCGUGGUGUAGCGGUGAAAUGCUUAGAUAUCACGAAGAACUCCGAUUGCGAAGGCAGCUCACUGGACUGCAACUGACACUGAUGCUCGAAAGUGUGGGUAUCAAACAGGAUUAGAUACCCUGGUAGUCCACACAGUAAACGAUGAAUACUCGCUGUUUGCGAUAUACAGUAAGCGGCCAAGCGAAAGCAUUAAGUAUUCCACCUGGGGAGUACGCCGGCAACGGUGAAACUCAAAGGAAUUGACGGGGGCCCGCACAAGCGGAGGAACAUGUGGUUUAAUUCGAUGAUACGCGAGGAACCUUACCCGGGCUUAAAUUGCAUUUGAAUAUAUUGGAAACAGUAUAGCCGUAAGGCAAAUGUGAAGGUGCUGCAUGGUUGUCGUCAGCUCGUGCCGUGAGGUGUCGGCUUAAGUGCCAUAACGAGCGCAACCCUUAUCUUUAGUUACUAACAGGUCAUGCUGAGGACUCUAGAGAGACUGCCGUCGUAAGAUGUGAGGAAGGUGGGGAUGACGUCAAAUCAGCACGGCCCUUACGUCCGGGGCUACACACGUGUUACAAUGGGGGGUACAGAAGGCAGCUACCUGGUGACAGGAUGCUAAUCCCAAAAGCCUCUCUCAGUUCGGAUCGAAGUCUGCAACCCGACUUCGUGAAGCUGGAUUCGCUAGUAAUCGCGCAUCAGCCAUGGCGCGGUGAAUACGUUCCCGGGCCUUGUACACACCGCCCGUCAAGCCAUGAAAGCCGGGGGUACCUGAAGUACGUAACCGCAAGGAGCGUCCUAGGGUAAAACUGGUAAUUGGGGCU